rnacentral:rRNA from 1 species
GGCCCUAAAUCUUGAUGCUUCCCAAACACAAACAUCCGCCCGAGAACUACGAGCACAAACGCUUAAAACUCUAAGGACUUGGCGGUGCCCUAAACCCACCUAGAGGAGCCUGUUCUAUAAUCGAUAACCCACGAUCCACCCGACCACUUCUUGCCAAAACAGCCUACAUACCGCCGUCCCCAGCCCACCUCUGUGAGAGCACAACAGUGAGCCCAACAGCCCCCACUCCGCUAAUAAGACAGGUCAAGGUAUAGCCCACGAAGUGGAAGAAAUGGGCUACAUUUUCUAAAAUAGAACACCUAACGAAAAGGGGCCUGAAACCUGCCCCAAGAAGGCGGAUUUAGCAGUAAAGCGGGACAAUCAAGCCCCCUUUAAGCCGGUCCUAGGGCA